rnacentral:rRNA from 1 species
GUGCCAGCCGCCGCGGUAAUACGGAGGGUGCAAGCGUUGUCCGGAAUCACUGGGUGUAAAGGGUGUGCAGGCGGGGCAACAAGUCGGAGGUGAAAGCCCAUGGCUCAACCAUGGAAGUGCCUUCGAAACUGUUGCUCUUGAGUCCCGGAGAGGUUGUCGGAAUUCGUGGUGUAGCGGUGAAAUGCGUAGAUAUCACGAGGAACACCAGAGGCGAAAGCGGACAACUGGACGGGUACUGACGCUCAGGCACGACAGCGUGGGGAGCAAACAAGAUUAGAAACCCCAGGGUC